CCCCAGGUCAGGCGGGACUACCCGCUGAGUUUAAGCAUAUAAAUAAGCGGAGGAGAAGAAACCUAUGAGGAUUCCCCUAGUAAUGGCUAGCGAACCGGGAGAUGCCCAGCUUGAGAAUCGGGCAGCCGCGUCGUCGGAAUUGUAGUCUACAGAGUCAUCCUCAGCGAUGGACCAGGCCCAAGUCCCUUGGAAAGGGGCGCAUGGGAGGGUGAGAGCCCCGUCUGGACCGGACCCUAUCACCCCACAAGGCGUCAUCAACGAGUCGGGUUGUUUGGGAAUGCAGCCCAAAUCGAGCAGAAAACUCCGUCCAAGGCUAAAUACAGGCGAGAGACCGACAGCGAACAAGUACCGCGAGGGAAAGAUGGAACGGAUUUUGAAAAGAGAGUCAAAGAGUGCUUGAAAUUACCGAGAGGGAAGCAGAUGGGGGCUGGCGAUGCGCCCCGGCCGUAUGCAGAAUGGCUUCGGCUGGUCCACCAAUCGGCUCGGGGCGUGGACUGUUGUCGGCCGUGUCGACGGCCAAAGCUCGGGGGCCUCGCGACCCUGGUAGCCAUCAUUGGUGCAGCCGGUCACCCCACUCCUCUGCCGCGCCCCUCGAGGCACCGCGCCGCAACGGCCUGCGGACUCCCCAUCCGACCCAUCUUGAGACACAGACCAAGGAGUCUGACAUGCGUGCGAGUUGACGGGUUCUGAAACCUGGGAUGCGCAAGGAAGCUGACGAGCGGGACGCCCUCGCGGGCCGCACUGCUGGCCGACCCUGAACUUCUAUGAAGGGUUCGAGUUGGAGCACGCCUAUCGGGACCCGAAAGAUGGUGAACUAUGCCUGAGUGGGGCGAAGCCAGAGGAAACUUUGGCGAAGGCAUGAAGCGAUACUGACGGGCAAAUCGUUCGUCUGACUUGGGUAUAGGGGCAAAAGACUAAUCAAACCAUCUAGUAGCUGGUUCCCUCCGAAGUUUCCCUC
rnacentral:rRNA from 1 species